UCUCGAUAACGUAAAAGUUAACUAUAUAGAUUUUGUAUGGAAUUGGAACGUUUGCCUACGUUUACCGCUAGGGGCGCUGAUCUAACUGCAUACAAAUUUGAGUUAACUUUUACGCUAUCGA
rnacentral:pre_miRNA from 9 species